rnacentral:lncRNA from 1 species
CAGUUCCACCACUGUUAGGUAAUUCGCGAAUUAUUCGCGAAUUUGUGAAGAAACGAAUUACCACGCCCCGGAUUACAUGUUUCCUCGAGCACGCCAACAAAUCCGCCGUAUACAAAGAAAUUUUCUUUGUAUACGAAGCGAUAGUUGUAUCUGUACCUGUAAUUAUACAACACUACAACUAGUAGUAUAGAGCUGCUAAAAAGAAAACAUAUAUAAAUAAUAUCGGUUCAACAUACAUACAUAGUAUCUUGAUACAAAAACACUCGCUCCGGAGAGGUAUUAACAUCAGUAUGUAUAAGAACCAAAAACUACAACUACCUGUAGCUGGUAUAAAUCUCUAGGUCAGUAGCAAUAGGGAAGGGAUCUAGCUAGCGACUCCCUUUUCACGAUCUGAAUCAGUAACAGCAGCAGCUGAAGAAGAAGGCUAAAAGGUUUCAACAACUGGGUGUGAGAACUACUGCAAAAAGUAGUACUUAGUGGGUACCGUUACCGACCUCAACGGUUCACGCACUAAGUCUACAGAUGUAUGCUCAAAGAUAGUAAAGGAAGCUGGAACAAAUCUAUAGCUAUAUAUCACAAUACUAUCACAAUCCAACACUAACUAUCUGUAGAAAAUGUAAUCUCUGACCCAAUCUCACUAGGGACUGUGAACACGCCCGUCCCGCCUGUCGAAGCUACACUAACUGCCACCACGCUAGGUCGUCAGUGGAGAGCAAGUCCAAACGAGACAAACCGACAUCAACGCAAAAGCACUAAGCCCAAUUCCGGAGUGGCACUCGUGGGCGCUACCCAACCGAGUAUGCAAGCGUGUUUCUGCCGACCUCAAUCAAGCUCUCACAGGCUAUAAUCAAAGUAAAAAGGUCUCACUGGUCUAACAACCAUAAUCUACGUGCCCUCGGCACAAUCUGAUGCAAAAACAGCCAAUAGGGUCCACCGUCAACCGCGAUGACACCCGACAGUCCGGAACAGCCUAUAUACUGCUGUAAAAAUAAGCUCGGCAUCCCAGCACGAGCUUAAAUGCAUUCUACACUAUUAUGGGUAUCCACCGCUUAUAAACUGCGGCGAUACAAACAAACUACGGCUCCUAAAGCUAAAUUUGGCAGUUUCAGAAAUGACGGUGUAAAAUCGAUAGUUUUCUCCUAAGUCAAUUCCAAGUCCAACAUGUAUAAUUUAUCUAAAUCUCUACUAUAUGCUCCAAAUUCAGAUUUCAAUAAGCAAGCAAAUCGAUGAAUUCGAGUUAAAAUAACAUGAUAUAUAAGACUAAAAAUAUAUAUGUUGACAUCAACUAGGCUUAGGAGGAAAUCCAUAGAAUU